CCAGAUUAGGUAGUAACAACCAUUUGAGUCUGGGAUUUCUGAAUGGGGAAACCCACUUACAUAAGUAAGUAUCCUUACCUGAAUACAUAGGGUAAGGAGGCGAACCGGGGGAACUGAAACAUCUAAGUACCCCGAGGAAAAGAAAUCAACCGAGAUUCCGAAAGUAGCGGCGAGCGAAAUUGGACUAGCCCUUAAGCUUUACACGCGUUAGACGAACGGUCUGGAAAGUCCGACGAUACAGGGUGAUAGUCCCGUAGUUGACGACGUGUGUUCAGUGAAAUCGAGUAGGGCGGGACACGUGAUAUCCUGUCUGAAUAUGGGGGGACCAUCCUCCAAGGCUAAAUACUACUGACUGACCGAUAGUGAACCAGUACCGUGAGGGAAAGGCGAAAAGAACCCCUG
rnacentral:rRNA from 1 species